AAGAGGAAGGCGUGCCGCGCAGAUGACGUCAUCCGACAUGUCUCGUGCCACAUUCCCCAAACUGCGCGAGGGCAGUGAGAGAGAGACCGUUCUCGGUUUAAUUUCUCCACAGUUCUCGUUUUGUUCUCUGCCGCUGCAUAGGACCCUACAGCUGGUUUUGUUUCUUGGCUUCCUCCAGUCGUCUGCAGAAAGUGUGUUACUGUGAAGAGUUCCCUGGACGGCAGCUAAGGAAAGCAGCCUGGUCAGCUGGUCAAGCCUGUUGAUUUCUUCUGGCACUAGAUCAGGUGACUUUCACAGGAAUUUUCUUCUGAAAACCACUGUGUCGCUGCCCAAAUCAUGUUGCUAUGCCUGAAUGAAUACGCCUACUGGAUCUCAUAUCCGUAAUCAUAAAUUGCCUGGAGAGCUUGAAGUCUCACGUCUGCUGUAUUUUCACUGGCUGCAUGGCUGUACUCCGUUUACAUCCUUCUUUUUCCCCAAUACCCUGCAUUAGAGUCUCAGAACAUGUGCUUUGGGGGACUUUUU